rnacentral:rRNA from 1 species
UACGUAGGGGGCUAGCGUUGUCCGGAAUCAUUGGGCGUAAAGCGCGUGUAGGCGGUCCGGUAAGUCCGCUGUGAAAGUCGGGGGCUCAACCCUCGAAUGCCGGUGGAAACUGUCGGGCUAGAGUACGGAAGAGGCGAGUGGAAUUCCUGGUGUAGCGGUGAAAUGCGCAGAUACCAGGAGGAACACCAAUUGCGAAGGCAGCUCGCUGGGACGUUACUGACGCUGAGACGCGAAAGCGUGGGGAGCAAACAGG